rnacentral:rRNA from 1 species
AGCAGCCGCGGUAAUUCCAGCUCCAAUAGCGUAUAUUAAAGUUGUUGCAGUUAAAAAGCUCGUAGUUGAAUUUCGGAAUUUGUCAGUUGGUCGGGCUUCAUUGUUCGUACUGACUUGAUGGAUUCUUACCUUCUGAAUAACCAGCAUGCUAUUAAGUUAGUGCGUUGGGGAAGCAGAUCUAUUACCUUGAAAAAAUUAGAGUGCUUAAAGCGGGCUAGUGCUUGAAUAGAUUAGCAUGGAAUAAUAAAAUAGGACGGCAUGGUUCUAUUUUGUUGGUUUCUAGGAUCACCGUAAUGAUUAAUAGGGAUAGUUGGGGGCAUUAGUAUUCAAUUGUCAGAGGUGAAAUUCUUGGAUUUAUUGAAGACUAACUUCUGCGAAAGCAUUUGCCAAGGAUGUUUUCAUUAAUCAAGAACGAAAGUUAGGGGAUCGAAGACGAUCAGAUACCGUCGUAGUCUUAACCAUAAACUAUGCCGACUAGGAAUCGGACGAAGUUAAUUUUUUAAUGACUCGUUCGGCACCU